rnacentral:misc_RNA from 1 species
ACUCGGUAGACCUAUGGGGAAGAGAAAGGAGUGAGAGAGCCUAUAGCAGGAAGCAAUUAAGGAAAACUCAACACACACGGGAUAUUGACAAUGACAGACAACUGAAAAUGACAAUGUCAGCCAACAACUGAAAAUGACAGUGGCAGUCCAUGAAUGAAGAUGAAACUGAGUGAAAAUGAGUAAUCGAAAAUGAAUGAGCAAAUGUGAGUGAUAAAAAAUAGUAAUAUAGAAAAUGAGAGUGAAAAUGAGUGAGAGUGGUGCGAGGGCAGACUAGGGUAUUAGUGCGUUAUCUGGGAUCAACGCCUUUUAUAAAUCACUCACUGGGCUCCACUACCCUCAGUUAGGGCGAGACCCGCGGGCCUACAGCACUAACACUCUCACUCACCGCUAACACUUCUUAAACUUGGUGAAGCAAGUUGGGUGUCGUGAAGCAAGCUCCUGACACAAGCAACUGAAUAAUGGGAGCCCUUGGAGGAGCCCAAGAGAGAAGAGCGCCGCAAACAGCAGCAGCAGCACCAGCAGCAGCACCAGCAGCUGCAGCAGCACCAGCACCGGCACCAGCAGCAGCAUGUAGAAGUAUUGGACGUGGCAGUGCUCGCCUGGCGGUGCUGUCGGCACUGCUGCAGGCGGUAGUGCUGAUAAGGGUGACGACGCAGGCGACGGCCCAAAUAACAGAAGGGAUUGAAGCCCUCCAAGACUUGAUCAGCACCGACCCUCAGCUGCUGUGCCUCUACGUCACCUGUCAAGAGCCCGUCUUGGCCUCUGACUGUCCAGAAGGCACUCUCUAUAUGGAGGGCGUCGCCCAGUUCGGCUGCUGCGGAGCCUGCGUCAGAUUCAGAGAGAAAGGCGAACCAUGCACGGGUGCCAUCGACGACAAAUCAGUUGGUGACGUGCCCAUCAUGGUCGGGAUUAGCUCAGCAAGGGAAGACAACGUGGUGGAGUCCUCCUGGUGCAACCAUACAUAUUUCUGCACCUCUCAGCACAAGUGUCAGCCUAACUCGCAAGAUAAAGGCUGCCUCUUAACCCAGCAAAAGUACGACGACGCCAUAAACAGUGAUGCCUACCUUCCUUACCGUGACGACUACCGCUGGAGGCCCGAUUGUACCCCCCAGAAUGAGUACGAAGCCAAGCAAUGCAAGGGACCCAGAGGGGAGCAGGAUAAAAGGUGUGUGUGUGUUGAUCCAGAGGGCAACAGAAUCUACGGAGAAGCCUUCCCAGAGCAGAAACAACUUUAUAACUCCAUGAACUGUAAGUGUUCCCGGCGAGUGUGGGAGCUACAGCAGGCAGGGAAGACUACCAUAACCCUUCACUGUCUGGAGAAUGGUAACUACGAGCCCCUGCAGUGUGAGGACGGCUGGUGUUACUGCAUAGACCCGGUCACCGCUAUUCCCUACGGCAAUAAUCUACCCGAAGCUGCCAAGCACUUUCUUCACUGCUAUAAUAGCACAGUGACGGGAGAGCAAUACCUGCGGCGGUGUGAGAGUGAGUACGUAGCUUACGUCAAACUGUCGGAGCAUAUGGCCUUGAAGGGUGUGCGAGGACCCUACAAGCUCCUGGUCUGCGACCCCGACGGGUCCUACAGCGCCAGGCAAUGCGACAUCAGCUCAGUGCGCACGGCACACGCAGCUGUACCAAGAUGCAGGCGUCAUAGUACAGCUCCAGUGCCAGUUGAACAAUGGGAACUAUACUGUUCAUCAAAAGCAAGGAAAUAGCGGGCUCCAACAGGCAGGAACAGUGUUCUGUGUCGACGAUGAUGGAGUUCGCGCUGGCCCUCUGGUCUACGAAACCUGGGAAGAGAACCUACUGUGUAACACUGCCGCAAGCUGUCAAACCAAUGGAGUUGGUUGCGAAUCGGCAUGCUCCAAUUGCGAUACUACUGCCUAUGCAAAUUACGUAGAGUGACCAACUGCCUGACUUCACAUACCAGCAGUGACUAUGAUAAUCUACCUACCAGCAGUGACCAUAAUAAUCUACCUACCAGCAGUGACAAUAAUAAUCUACCUACCAGCAGUGACUAUGAUAAUCUACCUACCAGCAGUGACAAUAAUAAUCUACCUACCAGCAGUGACCAUAAUAAUCUACCUACCAGCAGUGACUAUGAUAAUCUACCUACCAGCAGUGACUAUGAUAAUCUACCUACCAGCAGUGACUAUGAUAAUCUACCUACCAGCAGUGACUAUGAUAAUCUACCUACCAGCAGUGACAAUAAUAAUCUACCUACCAGCAGUGACCAUAAUAAUCUACCUACCAGCAGUGACCAUAAUAAUCUACCUACCAGCAGUGACAAUAAUAAUCUACCUACCAGCAGUGACCAUAAUAAUCUACCUCCCAACAGUGACCAUCCUAUUUCAAGUGUGAACGUGUUCUCUAUAUCACAGGCACUAGGCUACAGAAACUUUAAACAGUGACUGAUCUCUCCUAGGCUAAGAGCGAAUUUGGACCGACCUUCCCCAAGUGUAAACUGUGACCAGUCUACCCCAAAUGUUAACACUGAUCAAGCUACCCCAAGAGUAGGCAGUGAUGAGUUUACCCCCAAGUGUUAACAGUGGUCUACCCCAAUGGUAAACAGGUAUCAGUCUACCCCAGCUGUGAAAAAUGACGAGCUGCUGGCUGGCGAAAUUGACAUACUGUCCCCGUUUUCUGUUUUGGGUCCUCUGGUAGGUUAGGAUAAGGGCACUAACCAAGUACAGGACGCAAUCAAGUAUGAGCCACUAUCAGGCAUGAAUAGAAAAAUAUCCAAAAGAAAAUUAAUAAAAGUCACAAUGCUGUUGUGUUUAAUGACAUGUAUAUAUAUAUAUAAUAUAUAAUCAUAUCGCUAAUUUAAUUACUUAGUUAAUAUCGCUAAUGGAAACUCUUUAACUGCAUAUAAUACAUUAUCAUUACUGCAAUCUUACAAAUAUAUUUAAUGUUAGGUAACGCCAAACGGAAAUAUUUGUAAUAAUAUUGUAUACACUAAGCAAUAUUAAAUCUAACAAUCUAAACAAUAUUAAAUUCUGUAGAUGCUAUAAUAACAUAGCAUCCACAGAAUAAUAUUGAAUG